GAUGAACGCUAGCGGCAGGCCUAACACAUGCAAGCCGAGGGGUAGCAGGAUUAAGCUUGCUUAAUUGCUGACGACCGGCGCACGGGUGCGUAACGCGUAUGCAACCUACCUUAUACUGGGGUAUAGCCCGGAGAAAUUCGGAUUAAUCCCCCAUAGUACUAAUGAAUCGCAUGGUUUAUUAGUUAAAGCAUUGCGGUAUAAGAUGGGCAUGCGUCCUAUUAGCUAGAUGGUGAGGUAACGGCUCACCAUGGCUACGAUAGGUAGGGGGCCUGAGAGGGUGGUCCCCCCCACUGGUACUGAGACACGGACCAGACUCCUGCGGGAGGCAGCAGUGAGGAAUAUUGGUCAAUGGGCGCAAGCCUGAACCGGCCAUGCCGCGUGCAGGAAGAAUGCCCUAUGGGUUGUAAACUGCUUUUAUUUGGGAAUAAACCUCUUUACGUGUAGAGAGCUGAAGGUACCAAAUGAAUAAGCACCGGCUAACUCCGUGCCAGCCGCCGCAGUAA
rnacentral:rRNA from 1 species